rnacentral:rRNA from 1 species
UACAGAGGUCCCAAGCGUUGUUCGGAUUCACUGGGCGUAAAGGGUGCGUAGGCGGUCGGGUAAGUCUGAUGUGAAAUCUCACAGCUUAACUGUGAAACUGCAUUGGAUACUAUCCGGCUCGAGGAAUGGAGGGGAGACUGGAAUACUUGGUGUAGCAGUGAAAUGCGUAGAUAUCGGAAGGAACACCUGUGGCGAAAGCGGCUCACUGGACCAUUACUGACGCUGAGGCACGAAAGCUAGGGGAGCAAACAGG